rnacentral:lncRNA from 1 species
AGAUUGCUAAUUGCCCGCCAUGUUAGGGUCUUUGCUUUCUCAGGCUCUCCCUGUGACCGGUUCUUCUAUCUUGCCUCGCUGAGGGCCGACCCUAGCGUGAGGUUGUUAACCCCAGCAUUUCACCUGUCUCUGGACGGGGUCUGUGGUUAGAGACAAGGCUGAUAGGACGCAGCGCUCCUAGGAAUCGGACCGCUCAGGAACGCGCCCCUUAGCUUGCAAACCCCAUUUCCCAGACGCCCCAGCUCACCCCCGGAAGUGGCCGAGCCUAUAAAAAUCUCACUUAGCGCCCUCUGUAGCGGAUGCCGUGGUCUGCAGACUUGCUGGAAAGUCAGUUCUCCGAGGUUCAAGAGGAGCCUAGGGAGUGGCAGCUCUCGCUGACCGGCGGGUCCCAGAGACCUGCCCCCAAGGUGUCCCACUGUGUGGCUAAGGGUGGGAUAGAACCCGGGCUGGGAGAGCCGGGUUAUGGGUUCCAGUGGUGGUUCCGCCGCUUCCUUGCUUCGCUCUGUCUUACCUCGGCGUUCAGCCUAUUUUUCCUCGUAAGAAUUGGACACUUUUCCGUGCCCCUUCCAUACCGCAGGUGGUGUUCGUAGAGGCUCUCACGCUUUUCAAAAGGCGUCUCAUCUAAGACUUGCUAGAACCAACCUGACUAAAGGAGUCACCGUCAUACCCCCCUUGCACCUGGAGUAAAUCUGACUGUCCGAAGGACGAAGGACCGGUCUGUGAGCACUUGUGCUAAGGUGGACUUUAUUCACACUCCUGAGUGGAAUAUUAUUUGUCACUCACUCCUGAGUCCUGCCGUUUGGAGGGGCUGCCUUUGGAAAUGAGUUCUGGGAACUGAACACAGGAACUGGGUGCCUGUACCAGGCUUGCCAUUUGCCUGACCGAGUUACUCUUCUUUGGAUCCCGGCGCUGCAGUACUUUUGAAUUGUUCCUGUGAAGGCCAGAGACCCAACCUUGCUACUCCAGUUGCAGGCUCUCGCUGUCCAGCCACUAGCUGUUCCUCUGCUUUUCUUGUGGCUUUGGCUUAUUGCCGUUUUUUUCUGGUCCUCCAUUGGCACAAAGACCUUCUUGCCUUGGUCACACAUGUCUCUUCUGCUGGUCUGCAGAUUUUGGGCUGCUUUCCUUACCACUCCUAGGGAUGUGGGAGAAGCCAAAGCUGGGGUUCAAAUGCAGUCUACACGUGUAAAAUACAAAGUCUGCUCUCUGUGGGAGCAUUUGUCUUAGUUAGGUAUGCUUCCCCCUCUGCUCUGUCCUGGAUGUGUAUUUGGGUGGGCAGUUGCAUUGAGGGGUCAUUCAUGGGACAGUGGCAGCCGGAGAAGCCUCUGCUGUAAAGUCAGGUGCCCAGUACUCUGCUCUUUUCACUUUGAUGUGCUGUAUUGUGUGGAUUGUGACCUUGUGAUUCCCCCUCUUCUAGCUGCUGCUCCAGCUGCUUCCUGGAUCCCGCCCUUUCCCUGUGACUUACAUGCCUGUUCCCCUCAGGUAGCAUGACGAGCCGUUAAACAGUUCUCCCAAGAACACAUGUCCUGUCCCUAGAGUCCCUCCCAGUGAUGAGUCUGAGGUUUCUUUGGCCUUCCUUUCUGUCCCUUUGUGGGUAUGGGCUUUCCUGCCUCCUCUAGUUAUGCUCUCCCCUGACAGGGCCCCAGCCCACUAUGAAAUUGAAACCAGCAUUAUGAAGCAAUUUGCUGGGAGCCAUUCACUGCUGCUGCCUUCAGAGAUGUUCCUUAUUGAGUAGUGGGUGCUUCUGUUCCCCAAAAGGUCACUCAGCUACCCUCUAUGCUAUACCAGAAUGUGAGCUUUGCUCUUCUGAAUAGAAACUGGGUAGAGAGGGAGGAGUCUUGCCCCACUCCUUUGUGUUAGCCCUGCCAGGUCCCUCAACAGGCAGGCAGGCAGGCAAGCAGGCAGACAGGCAGGCAGAGUUGGGUUCCUGAACUCUCUGCAGACAGUGGCCAGGCUGCCAGACGUUGGGAGGAGGGCUGGCAUGGAUUUGCUGACUAAAUGGAAGCCUGAACACAUAGCGAUGACUCUUGGCACCCACAUGAACAUCUUCCUGGUUCACUCAUGAGUGGGUAUUUUACUUCAUGAAUCUUAUUUUUAUUAAAUAUGUUUUUAAACAUC